rfam:Arabidopsis lyrata subsp. lyrata unplaced genomic scaffold ARALYscaffold_347, whole genome shotgun sequence.
GUGUAACAGAAGGAGCUCCCUUCCUCCAAAACGAGGAGGACAAGAUUUGAGGAACUAAAAAGCAAAAUCUAAGAGUUCAUGGAUUCCUCAUAGAGAGUGCGUAGGUUAACAUCUUGAAGAAAGCACACUUUAAGGGGACUGCAUGACCUCUUAGAUUAUCUCUCUCUUUCUCUCUUUCUCUAUACAUCCUUCUCUUCUCUUCGUUUGGAUUGAAGGGAGCUCCUUUUCUUCUUUUC